rnacentral:rRNA from 1 species
UGCAAGUCGAGCGGUAGAGAGAAGCUUGCUUCUCUUGAGAGCGGCGGACGGGUGAGUAAUGCCUAGGAAUCUGCCUGGUAGUGGGGGAUAACGUCCGGAAACGGACGCUAAUACCGCAUACGUCCUACGGGAGAAAGCAGGGGACCUUCGGGCCUUGCGCUAUCAGAUGAGCCUAGGUCGGAUUAGCUAGUUGGUGGGGUAAUGGCUCACCAAGGCGACGAUCCGUAACUGGUCUGAGAGGAUGAUCAGUCACACUGGAACUGAGACACGGUCCAGACUCCUACGGGAGGCAGCAGUGGGGAAUAUUGGACAAUGGGCGAAAGCCUGAUCCAGCCAUGCCGCGUGUGUGAAGAAGGUCUUCGGAUUGUAAAGCACUUUAAGUUGGGAGGAAGGGCAGUAAAUUAAUACUUUGCUGUUUUGACGUUACCGACAGAAUAAGCACCGGCUAACUCUGUGCCAGCAGCCGCGGUAAUACAGAGGGUGCAAGCGUUAAUCGGAAUUACUGGGCGUAAAGCGCGCGUAGGUGGUUCGUUAAGUUGGAUGUGAAAUCCCCGGGCUCAACCUGGGAACUGCAUUCAAAACUGACGAGCUAGAGUAUGGUAGAGGGUGGUGGAAUUUCCUGUGUAGCGGUGAAAUGCGUAGA